UUUAACAGACAAGGACAUUGAGGCUCAGUAAGGUGAGAUGACUUGCUCCAGAUCACACAGGGUUGAAGCUGAAAUUUUAAUCUAGAGUCCAGUUCCAGAAUCUGUGCUUAUAAACUGUGCUGUGCUGUAUUUGCUUUAAGAAUAUAAGGGUCAUUUCCUGCUUGAAUAAUCAAGGAAGGCAUGAUGGAAAAGUUAGGGGCAUCAUAAAACCCAAAGACAAUUCUGAUCAUAUUUUUACUUCAACACUUCUACAGGAAAGAAAGCCUUCCCAUCACUAAUAGGCAGUGAUUGCAUUUGCAACCCAUUCUUGCCAAAGAGAAAUUCGGAAGCACACUUCAAGGAACUAAGUUCAGUGAUAAUCACACUUGAUUGAUUUUCAGUACUGUCACAGUUUGAGAACUAUUUAUUGCCCUGAUUUGCUCUUUUCUCUGCCCUGUAUUAAAGAUCUUGCAUGACAG
rnacentral:lncRNA from 1 species